rnacentral:tRNA from 1 species
GGAGAGGUGUCCGAGUGGUUGAAGGAGCGCGCUUGGAAAGCGCGUAUACUGGGUGACUGGUAUCGAGGGUUCGAACCCCUCCCUCUCCGCCA